rnacentral:rRNA from 1 species
AGAACGAACGCUGGCGGCAGGCUUAACACAUGCAAGUCGAACGCUCCUAGCAAUAGGGGAGUGGCAGACGGGUGAGUAACGCGUGGGAACAUACCCUCCGGUUCGGAAUAACUCAGGGAAACUUGAGCUAAUACCGGAUACGGCCUUUAGUCGAAGGAUUGGCGGCGAAAGAUUUAUCGCCGGAGGAUUGGCCCGCGUCCGAUUAGCUAGUUGGUGUGGUAAUGGCGCACCAAGGCGACGAUCGGUAGCUGGUCUGAGAGGAUGAUCAGCCACAUUGGGACUGAGACACGGCCCAAACUCCUACGGGAGGCAGCAGUGGGGAAUAUUGGACAAUGGGCGCAAGCCUGAUCCAGCCAUGCCGCGUGAGUGAUGACGGCCUUAGGGUUGUAAAGCUCUUUCGCUCGGGACGAUAAUGACGGUACCGAGAUAAGAGCCCGGCUAACUUCGCGCCAGCAGCCGC